GUUUGCAGCUGCCGUGGUGUGGGUCGUUUUUUUCCUGUCAGGAGUCUAGUGUCUCUGUUCGGUGGAUCGGCGGUCGGGGACGGCGCCGGCGCCGUCUACCUGUGCGAGGUGAUCGGUGGCGGGCGGCGGCUGAGUCAAGGGGACGCUGUUGAGGGAGAUCGACGACGGCAGUAGGACGGCUUGUUGUGGAAGGAGAUCGGCGACGACAGUGGGGGGGGGGGGGGGGGGGGGGGGGGUGGGGGGGGGGUGGGGGGGGGACGGCUUGCUUUGCGAGGAGAUCCGGCGACGGCAGCGGCUACUUGUGCUGAAGUAAGGAUGGUGUGUCGAGUGUGUCAUUCUUGUUGUGAGAUUGACAAUGAGGAUAGGUUUGCCAUUUUCAUUCACGAUGGGCCUGGUGAUUUAGUGGUAGAACAUACCAUGCACUCCAAGGAACAAGUUCAACGAGAUAAGCGGCAUGAAGUUCAAAGCACAUAGCCGCAGAUCAUGGGGUGCCACAAAAGAACACAGAUGGAGGUGACAUUGUAGAUGAGGAAGAUGACGAAGAUGAUGGAGAUGAAGAUGCGAUGAAUGUUGGCGUUGGGCUUGGAGCUGUAGCAGACAUUAUAUAUACUAGGGGUGUUGUUCUCAAUGAUGGCGUAGAACAAAUGUUGGGUGUGGUUCUAACCAUUGAAGAUGGAUACAUAGGGUCGCAUUUUGUGCAUCGCCUCACACCCACGAACAUCACAAGCAAGCUAAUGAAAAUCCCCAAGAAAUUUUUUCAACAACUUAAUCUGGCUUCACAAGGUGUCGUUGGCAUUUGUAUGGGCGUAGGAGAUGUCGUGCCGGUUGGACAUCACACGGAUUGUGAUGGACAGAUGGUCUUUGACGAAGAAUGGGGUGUUUUUGCAAGCGUGCACCAACUCCAAGUGGGCGAAGCUGUUGUGUUCAACUUCAAGCAGAGCAGUGCACAGGGCAUCAACAUAGCAUGCAUCAUGAAUGGCUUGAGGCUGGCAGAAGCAUAAAAGUUUGUAGUUUCAGUCAUUUUGUGCUAGCAUCCAGUUUUUGUGUUAUGUUGUAAUUAGCUUAAGUAUGCAGCAUCUAGUAUUCCUGAACUAGUUUUAGUCAUUGUGCUAGUUUCAGUCAUUGCCAUUCAGCUACAUUGUGCUAGUAUCGAGUAUUUUGUUAUAUUUUUUCUGAACUAUGUAAGCACUAGGAAUGCUUUUUGUUUGUUUUCUGUACUAUGUGAAGCACAGUCGAUGCUUUUUGUUGUUUCAAGGGGAUGACAGAAGCAUGUUAUUUGUGUUAA